AGUAGGGUGCCAUCAAGAGGUGUAUUUGGAAAUAUCCCUAAUACAGGAUCACUUGGA
rnacentral:rRNA from 1 species